GUACUACUCUCAGAGUUUGAUCCCUGGCUCAGGAUGAACACUGGCGGCGUGCCUAACACAUGCAAGUCGAGCGAUUCUCUUCGGAGAAGAGCGGCGGACGGGUGAGUAACGCGUGGGUAACCUGCCCUGUACACACGGAUAACAUACCGAAAGGUAUGCUAAUACGAGAUAAUAUGCUUUUAUCGCAUGGUAGAAGUAUCAAAGCUCCGGCGGUACAGGAUGGACCCGCGUCUGAUUAGCUAGUUGGUAAGGUAACGGCUUACCAAGGCGACGAUCAAGUAGCCGACCUGAGAGGGUGAUCGGCCACAUUGGAACUGAGACACGGUCCAA
rnacentral:rRNA from 1 species